ensembl:snoRNA
NNNNUGUGCUCAGAGCAGGGGGCCUGAAGAAUGGCUGGCUCCUCUGUUUAUGACACACCCACCCUGAAUCUGGGGUCAUUGUGAUGAGAGGCACAAAAGUUGUGGCCUUCCUACAAACAAAUUUCCUACACGU